rnacentral:rRNA from 1 species
AACGAACGCUGGCGGCAGGCCUAACACAUGCAAGUCGAGCGAGAUCUUCGGGUCUAGCGGCGGACGGGUGAGUAACGCGUGGGAAUAUGCCUCUUGGUACGGAAUAGCCUCGGGAAACUGGGAGUAAUACCGUAUGUGCCCUUUGGGGGAAAGAUUUAUCGCCAAGAGAUUAGCCCGCGUUGGAUUAGGUAGUUGGUGGGGUAAUGGCCUACCAAGCCGACGAUCCAUAGCUGGUUUGAGAGGAUGAUCAGCCACACUGGGACUGAGACACGGCCCAGACUCCUACGGGAGGCAGCAGUGGGGAAUCUAAGACAAUGGGGGCAACCCUGAUCUAGCCAUGCCGCGUGAGUGAUGAAGGCCUUAGGGUUGUAAAGCUCUUUCAGCUGGGAAGAUAAUGACGGUACCAGCAGAAGAAGCCCCGGCUAACUCCGUG